rnacentral:rRNA from 1 species
GAUGAACGCUGGCGGCGUGCUUAACACAUGCAAGUCGAACGAAGCACUUUGAUAAGUUUACUUAGAGAAGUGACUGAGUGGCGGACGGGUGAGUAACGCGUGGGUAACCUGCCUCACACAGGGGGAUAACAGUUAGAAAUGACUGCUAAUACCGCAUAAAAUGGCAGUUUCGCAUGAAACAACCAUCAAAGAUUUAUCGGUGUGAGAUGGACCCGCGUCUGAUUAGCUAGUUGGUAAGGUAACGGCUUACCAAGGCGACGAUCAGUAGCCGACCUGAGAGGGUGACCGGCCACAUUGGGACUGAGACACGGCCCAAAACUCCUACGGGAGGCAGCAGUGGGGAAUAUUGGACAAUGGGCNCAAGCCUGAUCCAGCGACGCCGCGUGAGCGAGGAAGUAUUUCGGUAUGU